GUGCUCACUUUGGCAGCACAAAUACUAAAAUUGGAAUGAUACAGAGAAGAUUAGCAUGGUCCUUACACAAGGAUGACAUGCACAUACAUGAAGCAUUCCAUAUUUUA
ensembl:snRNA U6 U6 spliceosomal RNA